rnacentral:rRNA from 1 species
CCUACGGGAGACUGCAGUGAGGAAUAUUGGUCAAUGGGCGCGAGCCUGAACCAGCCAAGUAGCGUGAAGGAUGACUGCCCUACGGGUUGUAAACUUCUUUUAUAAAGGAAUAAAGUGAGGCACGUGUGCCUGUUUGGAUGUACUUUAUGAAUAAGGAUCGGCUAACGCCGUGCCAGCAGCCGCGGUAAUACGGAGGAUCCGAGCGUUAUCCGGAUUUAUUGGGUUUAAAGGGAGCGUAGAUGGGUUGUUAAGUCAGUUGUGAAAGUUUGCGGCUCCACCGUAAAAUUGCAAUUGAUACUGGCAUCCUUGCGUACAGUUGAGGUAGGCGGAAUUCGUGGUGUCGCGG